GCCCCGCUGGCGCUGGCGUAAGGUACAGUGGCACGCGAGUGAAUGGUACCCAGAGUAAAGCAGACGCAGGUGUUACAGCUGGGAAGCCUGCUCCGUGUCAAGUACUUGGACUGAAGAAGCUCGAAAACUAUGUUUUCAGGAAGGAGAGGAGAGAUGCUUGCCAAUACACUGGAAGUGACUUCUCACACUUCAGUGACCAAAGAAAGUCCUAUAUGCACACGAAAUGAGAGAGUAUUUACAUGGCUUCUGCAGGGCACCUGGGAGCCACAGCAGUCUGGGAUCACCUCAUUCUAAUUUGAUGAAUUAAGUUAAUUGGAUGUUGGCUGAGGCUUCGCGAAACCCCGUCUGCUUCCAAUCCAUCCGGUCCUAAGAAGGAAGAAAUGUCCCAACUACUGAGCCUGCUGUCCUGAGUGCCGUCAUGCUCCCGGCCCUUUCCUGGUGGCUCGUCAGGACCUCUCUGCCUCUGACGCUUUGGACAAGAUUUCAUUUUCCGUUUUUCUGCUGUUCCUGUCACUGCCAGCCACCAGGAACACCGGGCAGAUGUCUUCUGUCUGCCCUGACGGGAUGUUGUUAUUUGGGCAAUCUUCUUAAACUCGG